rnacentral:rRNA from 1 species
GAUGAACGCUGGCGGCGUGCUUAACACAUGCAAGUCGAACGGUGAACGAGGGAGCUUGCUCCCUCCGGAUCAGUGGCGAACGGGUGAGUAACACGUGAGCAAUCUGCCCUGGACUCUGGGAUAAGCGUUGGAAACGACGUCUAAUACCGGAUACGAGACGCGAAGGCAUCUUCAGCGUCCGGAAAGAACUUCGGUCCAGGAUGAGCUCGCGGCCUAUCAGGUAGUUGGUGAGGUAACGGCUCACCAAGCCUACGACGGGUAGCCGGCCUGGGAGGGUGACCGGCCACACUGGGACUGAGACACGGCUCAGACUCCUACGGGAGGCAGCAGUGGGGAAUAUUGCACAGUGGGCGCAAGCCUGAUGCAGCAACGCCGCGUGAGGGACGACGGCCUUCGGGUUGUAAACCUCUUUUAGCAGGGAAGAAGCGAAAGUGACGGUACCUGCAGAAAAAGCACCGGCUAACUACGUGCCAGCCGCCGCCGUAACAC